UGUUGGCUUAGAAGCAGCCACCAUUGAAAGAGUGCGUAAUAGCUCACUGGUCGAGUGACCCCGCGCCGAAAAUGUACCGGGGCUAAACAUAUUACCGAAACUGUGGAUGAACCUCUUUAGAGGUUCGUGGUAGGAGAGCGUUCUAAGGGCGGUGAAGUCAGACCGGAAGGACUGGUGGAGCGCUUAGAAGUGAGAAUGCCGGUAUGAGUAGCGAAAGAAGGGUGAGAAUCCCUUCCACCGAAUAUCUAAGGUUUCCUGAGGAAGGCUCGUCCGCUCAGGGUUAGUCGGGACCUAAGCCGAGGCCGAUAGGCGUAGGCGAUGGACAACAGGUAGAGAUUCCUGUACCAGUGCUAAUUGUUUAACCGAUGGGGUGACACAGAAGGAUAGGGAAUCGCACGAAUGGAAAUGUGCGUCCAAGCAGUGAGUGUGAGAAGUAGGCAAAUCCGCUUCUCGCGAAGCAUGAGCUGUGAUGGGGAAGGAAAUUAAGUACGGAAGUUCCUGAUUUCACGCUGUCAAGAAAAGCCUCUAGGAAGAGUAGUACUGCCCGUACCGCAAACCGACACAGGUAGAUGAGGAGAGAAUCCUAAGGUGAGCGAGAGAACUCUCGUUAAGGAACUCGGCAAAAUGACCCCGUAACUUCGGGAGAAGGGGUGCUCUAUUAGGGUGCAAGCCCGAGAGAGCCGCAGUGAAUAGGCCCAGGCGACUGUUUAGCAAAAACACAGGUCUCUGCAAAACCGUAAGGUGACGUAUAGGGGCUGACGCCUGCCCGGUGCUGGAAGGUUAAGAGGAGUGCUUAGCUUCGGCGAAGGUACGAAUUGAAGCCCCAGUAAACGGCGGCCGUAACUAUAACGGUCCUAAGGUAGCGAAAUUCCUUGUCGGGUAAGUUCCGACCCGCACGAAAGGCGCAACGAUCUGGGCACUGUCUCAACGAGAGACUCGGUGAAAUUAUAGUACCUGUGAAGAUGCAGGUUACCCGCGACAGGACGGAAAGACCCCGUGGAGCUUUACUGCAACCUGAUAUGGAAUGUUUGUACCGCUUGUACAGGAUAGGUAGGAGCCGAAGAGACGUGUGCGCUAGCAUACGAGGAGGCAAUGGUGGGAUACUACCCUGGCUGUAUGACCAUUCUAACCCGCCACGCUUAGCGCGUGGGGAGACAGUGUCAGGUGGGCAGUUUGACUGGGGCGGUCGCCUCCUAAAGAGUAACGGAGGCGCCCAAAGGUUCCCUCAGAAUGGAUGGAAAUCAUUCGCAGAGUGUAAAGGCACAAGGGAGCUUGACUGCGAGACUGACAAGUCGAGCAGGGACGAAAGUCGGGCUUAGUGAUCCGGUGGUUCCGCAUGGAAGGGCCAUCGCUCAACGGAUAAAAGCUACCCCGGGGAUAACAGGCUUAUCUCCCCCAAGAGUCCACAUCGACGGGGAGGUUUGGCACCUCGAUGUCGGCUCGUCGCAUCCUGGGGCUGUAGUCGGUCCCAAGGGUUGGGCUGUUCGCCCAUUAAAGCGGCACGCGAGCUGGGUUCAGAACGUCGUGAGACAGUUCGGUCCCUAUCCGUCGCGGGCGCAGGAAAUUUGAGAGGAGCUGUCCUUAGUACGAGAGGACCGGGAUGGACACACCGCUGGUGUACCAGUUGUUCCGCCAGGAGCAUCGCUGGGUAGCUAUGUGUGGCAGGGAUAAACGCUGAAAGCAUCUAAGCGUGAAGCCCCCCUCAAGAUGAGAUUUCCCAUUUCUUCGGAAAGUAAGAUCCCUGAAAGAUGAUCAGGUAGAUAGGUUUGGAGUGGAAGUGUAGCGAUACAUGGAGCGGACAAAUACUAAUCGAUCGAGGACUUAACCAA
rnacentral:rRNA from 1 species